rnacentral:rRNA from 1 species
CGCCACCCGACGCAAAUCAGUCGCCGCCCCAGUGAUCCUCCCCUUCCCCGUGCUAUCCCUCGAUACCGGCCGAGCGCCUUCGGCAGGAUGCGUCGGCACGGUCCAGUCACCGGGGGUCGCUCUCCCUGACUCACAGCUGAAGGAGACCGGCAGUUUCCUCGACGGAGCACCGCAGAAGCCAAUCGAGCCUACAACCACAACCAGGACGAGUCCCUCAAUUUGCUAGUUUCAUUUUUUAUUGCAAUCGCAAACUCUGUUUGCCCCUUCCUUGAUCCAAUCUUUCGUCCUUGCUGCUCCACAUCACAUCUACCUGCCGACGCGGCGCCCCAACCCAUGAACCUUCACCUGCUGGUUGACCUUCUCGCAAAGCCCACCUCGACCUUCCUGGGAUCUGGCUCGUAGGGCGCACGCAAUCUCGUCCUGGCCAGCUGCUGCUGGGGGAAGCUCCACCGGCCUGAAGAUGCAAGAGAUACGCAAGAACAGAGGGAGAUACAGAGCAUGUGUAGUAUAUGGACUGCUCGCACGCGCUGCCACGGACUGCUCCGCCCACCUCCCCCACACCUCGCGCGUCGCCUGCGUGCCACACCAUAGCCACCUCUCCCACACGUUGAUGAAGAGGUCUGUCUCUCUUUCCUCCCCUGCUCACCGUCCUGUGAGGCAGUGGAAGCGACUACUUGAGGGAACGAAGCCCGGCCUCCCAACACCGGCAGUCUCCCUGCACCCUGCAAAAAAUUAAAUAAAUCGCAAGUUCAGAAUCAAGAAACCAUGAAGUUCAAAGACAACAAAGGGACAACAAUGUUGAUGGCGAUUGAAGAAGGAUCCCGGAAAUAUUAUUAUUGGGAUCGAAGGCCAAGUUUUAUGCACGGUCUUAGAGGAUUCCAAGAAUUGUUCUGAAGCGGUCGAUGGCUUUCGAGAGAUGCGAUCAUAUCUCACAAGUUUCCACGGGGUUCAAGAUCAUUUAUAUAAGAAGGAAAUGUCAAAGGUUCAGACGGCAGCACACUUUACUGGUGAAAAAUCUGAACAUGUGUAGUGCAAUCAUGGGAAAAAGCUUGAAUUUUUAUCGCUUAACCUCUGCUGAUCUCUCCUAUAGUUUUUGUUAUGCGUUCUUCAUUGAGUGGUACAACUGAACAUAUCCACGGGAGAUCCAUGCUAUGGUACAGAUUUGUGAAAUUAGUUUGUACUCAUUAGUAUUAUUUCAUUGUGGGUAACGGGCGCAUGACUUCAUGUGUUCACUAUUUAUUUUUUCGCUUGAUUUGUAUCCAAAUUAUUUAUUAAUAUUGUGAUUCGAGUGACUCUGUGC